rnacentral:rRNA from 1 species
UAACUGAAGAGUUUGAUCAUGGCUCAGAUUGAACGCUGGCGGCAGGCUUAACACAUGCAAGUCGAGCGGAGAGAGGUAGCUUGCUACUGAUCUUAGCGGCGGACGGGUGAGUAAUGCUUAGGAAUCUGCCUAUUAGUGGGGGACAACAUUUCGAAAGGAAUGCUAAUACCGCAUACGUCCUACGGGAGAAAGCAGGGGAUCUUCGG